rnacentral:rRNA from 1 species
GACGAACGCUGGCGGCGUGCUUAACACAUGCAAGUCGAACGGAAAGGCCCUGCUUUUGUGGGGUGCUCGAGUGGCGAACGGGUGAGUAACACGUGAGUAACCUGCCCUUGACUUUGGGAUAACUUCAGGAAACUGGGGCUAAUACCGGAUAGGGGCUCCUGCUGCAUGGUGGGGGUUGGAAAGUUUCGGCGGUUGGGGAUGGACUCGCGGCUUAUCAGCUUGUUGGUGGGGUAGUGGCUUACCAAGGCUUUGACGGGUAGCCGGUCUGAGAGGGUGACCGGCCACAUUGGGACUGAGAUACGGCCCAGACUCCUACGGGAGGCAGCAGUGGGGAAUAUUGCACAAUGGGCGGAAGCCUGAUGCAGCAACGCCGCGUGCGGGAUGACGGCCUUCGGGUUGUAAACCGCUUUCGCCUGUGACGAAGCGUGAGUGACGGUAAUGGGUAAAGAAGCACCGGCUAACUACGUG